rnacentral:lncRNA from 1 species
UCGUGGUAUCAACGGAAAAUAUCUCAAAUAUUUGGCGGGAAUCCGUUUACUUUUUUCAUCAUCAUCAGCUUCGUUCAACCACCUUGAAACUCCACAUGUAGGACAACUUUUGCAAUCUUUAUAUUUUUUACGAUAAAUGAUACAAUCGUUCCGACAUGCAUCGAUCUUCUCAUACCGUAACCCCAAAUCACGAACAACUGACUUAGCUUGAUACAUAUUCUUCGGGAUCGUUUCUGUUCCAUUGGGAUGAGAUCGACGUAAAAUGGAUAACAACGUCUCAAAUGAUUUAUCG